rnacentral:rRNA from 1 species
UGGGGAAUCUUGCCCAAUGGGCGAAAGCCUGAGGCAGCAACGCCGCGUGUGGGAUGAAGGCCCUUGGGUUGUAAACCACUUUCAGCAGGGACGAAGAUGACGGUACCUGCAGAAGAAGCCUCGGCCAACUACGUGCCAGCAGCCGCGGUAAGACGUAGGGGGCAAGCGUUGUCCGGAUUUAUUGGGCGUAAAGAGCUCGUAGGCGGCUCAGAAAGUCGUGUGGGAACCCUCCAGGCUCAACCUGGAGACGCCACCUGAUACUGCUGUGGCUAGAGUCCGGUAGGGGAGCACGGAAUUCCCGGUGUAGCGGUGAAAUGCUUAGAAAUCGGGAGGAACACCAGUGGCGAAGGCGGUGCUCUGGGCCGGAACUGACGCUGAGGAGCGAAAGCGUGGGUAGCAAACAGG